rnacentral:rRNA from 1 species
CCUGAUCCAGCAACGCCGCGUGGGGGAUGACGGCCUUCGGGUUGUAAACCUCUUUCAGCACAGACGAAGUCGCGGCUUUUGUCGUGGUGACGGUAUGUGUAGAAGAAGCACCGGCCAACUACGUGCCAGCAGCCGCGGUAAUACGUAGGGUGCGAGCGUUGUCCGGAAUUAUUGGGCGUAAAGGGCUCGUAGGCGGUUUGUCGCGUCGGGAGUGAAAACCGGGUGCUUAACACCUGGCUUGCUUUCGAUACGGGCUGACUUGAGGGAUGCAGGGGAGAACGGAAUUCCUGGUGUAGCGGUGAAAUGCGCAGAUAUCAGGAGGAACACCGGUGGCGAAGGCGGUUCUCUGGGCAUUACCUGACGCUGAGGAGCGAAAGUGUGGGGAGCGAACAGGAUUAGAUACCCUGGUAGUCCACACCGUAAACGUUGGGCGCUAGGUGUGGGAUCCAUUCCACGGGUUCCGUGCCGUAGCUAACGCAUUAAGCGCCCCGCCUGGGGAGUACGGCCGCAAGGCUAAAACUCAAAGGAAUUGACGGGGGCCCGCACAAGCGGCGGAGCAUGCGGAUUAAUUCGAUGCAACGCGAAGAACCUUACCUGGGUUUGACAUACAUCCUGCCGCCUCAGAGAUGGGG